GGAGUCUGACAUGUGUGCGAGU
rnacentral:siRNA from 1 species